UUCCUGGCUCUUUAUCAACCAGGGAAUCAGAAAGGGACUUUCCAGAGCUAUAAACAUGUGAGCUGAAUAGAUGGAAUGAACCCGUAUGCAAAUGAGUUUUGAUUCCCUUCCCUUUAUAAAGUUAAAAUGUUUUUGAGAGAGAAACAGAUCCUCCAGAAUGUGGGUGUCCGAGAUUGUUACCUUGGACUGGCUGUAUCUCUCUCCCUGCUGUCUGUCUGUCUGCCUGCCUGCCUUUCUGCCUGUCUUUCCAUUGUAGAGAACAAAGCGGAGUGAUGUAAAAUAGAAAAUGAGAAAUGCAAACCUGUGGUGAUUGAAGAGGAGGAAGGAAAAUGAAAGAGAAAAAGCUGAAGAGUGGGAAAAAGAUAAAAUAAAAUGAAUUUUGGGGAUUCCACUCUUUUCAGGUAUCUGCACUCCAUCUGAAUUUGCUUCAGGAGCAGGGCUUCACAGAUGACAUCUGAAACAUAUGGAUUGACCAGUCAUUUUGAGCUCGCUCCGUUCCACUACAUUUAUCAGGAAUUGGUUCAGAUGAACAGUUCAUCUCACCACCCUGCCUGCCUUUUCACAGGCUGGGAGACAGCGUGCGUGUCACCUCCAGCAUCUGCCGUGGUUACAGUGAUCUGAGAUCCUGACCAAGGGAGAAAGCAUUGCUGGGUUAGGAGACAGCUCCGUAUCCAAAGAGUGUCUGUGUAGUUGCUGGGCUGAAGGCAUUACGCACUUGAUGCAUUCAUCAUCUUGAAGGGUUCAGGAGAAGGAAUUACCUACAGGCAGUUCCUCAUCUGACAUUGCCGCUGGUCU